rnacentral:rRNA from 1 species
UACGUAGGGUGCGAGCGUUGUCCGGAAUUAUUGGGCGUAAAGAGCUCGUAGGCGGUUUGUCGCGUCGUCCGUGAAAACUUGGGGCUCAACCCCAAGCUUGCGGGCGAUACGGGCAGACUUGAGUACUGCAGGGGAGACUGGAAUUCCUGGUGUAGCGGUGAAAUGCGCAGAUAUCAGGAGGAACACCGGUGGCGAAGGCGGGUCUCUGGGCAGUAACUGACGCUGAGGAGCGAAAGCGUGGGUAGCGAACAGG